GACGAACGCUGGCGGCGUGCCUAAUACAUGCAAGUUGAGCGAUGAAGAUUGGUGCUUGCACCAAUUUGAAGAGCAGCGAACGGGUGAGUAACGCGUGGGGAAUCUGCCUUUGAGCGGGGGACAACAUUUGGAAACGAAUGCUAAUACCGCAUAACAACUUUAAACAUAAGUUUUAAGUUUGAAAGAUGCAAUUGCAUCACUCAAAGAUGAUCCCGCGUUGUAUUAGCUAGUUGGUGAGGUAAAGGCUCACCAAGGCGAUGAUACAUAGCCGACCUGAGAGGGUGGUCGGCCACAUUGGGACUGAGACACGGCCCAAACUCCUACGGGAGGCAGCAGUAGGGAAUCUUCGGCAAUGGACGAAAGUCUGACCGAGCAACGCCGCGUGAGUGAGGAAGGUUUUCGGAUCGUAAAACUCUGUUGGUAGAGAAGAACGUUGGUGAGAGUGGAAAGCUCAUCAAGUGACGGUAACUACACAGAAAGGGACGGCUAACUACGUG
rnacentral:rRNA from 1 species